AGAGUUUGAUCCUGGCUCAGAAUGAACUCUGGGAAUUGACGGAAGGGUGAAUUCUGCACAUAUCCUCUUUCUGUUGGGAAGGAUAGUGAAGUGGCGCACGGGUGAGUAACACGUGGGUAAUCUACCUUUAAAUUUGGGAUAACUCUGCGAAAGCGGGGCUAAAACCGGAUAAUAUCUCAAAACCCUCGGUUUUUGAGAUCAAAAGUGGCCUCUACAUGUAAGCUACUGUUUGGAGAUGAGCCCGCGUACCAUUAGCUUGUUGGUAGGGUAAUGGCCUACCAAGGCAACGAUGGUUAGCUGGUCUGAGAGGAUGAUCAGCCACACUGGAACUGACACACGGUCCAGACUCCUACGGGAGGCAGCAGUGAGGAAUUUUGCGCAAUGGGGGAAACCCUGACGCAGCAACGCCGCGUGAGUGAUGAAGGCCUUCGGGUCGUAAAGCUCUGUCAAGUGGGAAGAACCUGAAAAAUGCUAAUAUCAUUUUUCACUGACGGUACCACUAAAGGAAGCACCGGCUAACUCCGUGCCAGCAGCCGCGGUAAUACGGAGGGUGCAAGCGUUAUUCGGAAUUAUUGGGCGUAAAGGGCGCGUAGGCGGCCUCUUAAGUCAGAUGUGAAAGCCCGGGGCUUAACCCCGGAAGUGCAUUUGAAACUAAGGGGCUUGAGUAUGGGAGAGGGAAGUGGAAUUCCUGGUGUAGCGGUGAAAUGCAUAGAUAUCAGGAGGAACACCGGUGGCGAAGGCGACUUCCUGGACCAAUACUGACGCUGAGGCGCGAAGGCGUGGGUAGCAAACAGGAUUAGAUACCCUUGUAGUCCACGCAGUCAACGGUGAACACUAGGUGUACCCGGUAUUGACCCCCGCUGUCCCCCAGCAGUGUCAUGGAAUUUUCCCCUAGGGGAGGAUCCUGGCACGGUAUAAACUCAAAGGAAUUGACGG
rnacentral:rRNA from 1 species